rnacentral:rRNA from 1 species
CCUACGGGAGGCAGCAGUGGGGAAUAUUGCACAAUGGGGGAAACCCUGAUGCAGCGACGCCGCGUGAGUGAAGAAGUAUUUCGUUAUGUAAAGCUCUAUCAUCAGAGAAGAAAAUGACGGUACCUGAGUAAUAAGCCCCGGCUAACUCCGUGCCAGCAGCCGCGGUAAUACGGAGGGGGCAAGCGUUAUCCGGAUUUACUGGGUGUAAAGGGAGCGUAGGCGGGAGUGCAAGUCUGGAGUGAAAGGCGGGGGCUCAACCCCAGGACUGCUCUGGAAACUGUAAGGCUGGAGUGCAGGAGAGGUAAGUGGAAUUCCUAGUGUAGCGGUGAAAUGCGUAGAUAUCAGGAGGAACACUAGUGGCGAAGGCGGCUUACUGGACUGUAACUGACGUUGAGGCUCGAAAGCGUGGGGAGCAAACAGGAUUAGAUACCCUUGUAGUC